rnacentral:rRNA from 1 species
UGCUAACGUCCGUCGUGGAGAGGGAAACAACCCAGACCGCCAGCUAAGGUCCCAAAUUACUACUAAGUGGGAAACGAUGUGGGAAGGCUCAGACAGCCAGGAUGUUGGCUUAGAAGCAGCCAUCAUUAAAGAAAGCGUAAUAGCUCACUGGUCGAGUCGGCCUGCGCGGAAGAUGUAACGGGGCUAAGUAGUAAACCGAAGCUGCGGCAAUGUGCUUUUGCACAUUGGGUAGGGGAGCGUUCUGUAAGCGGUUGAAGGUGUGUGGUAACGCAUGCUGGACGUAUCAGAAGUGCGAAUGCUGACAUGAGUAACGAUAAAGGGGGUGAAAAACCUCCUCGCCGGAAGACCAAGGGUUCCUGUCCAACGUUAAUCGGGGCAGGGUAAGUCGACCCCUAAGGCGAGGCCGAAAGGCGUAGUCGAUGGGAAACGGGUUAAUAUUCCCGUACUUCUUACAAUUGCGAUGGGGGGGACGGAGAAGGCUAGGUGGGCCUGGCGACGGUUGUCCAGGUUCAAGUGCGUAGGCUUGAGAGUUAGGUAAAUCCGGCUCUUUUUAAGGCUGAGACACGACGUCGAGCACCUACGGGUGUGAA